rnacentral:rRNA from 1 species
GACGAACGCUGGCGGCGUGCUUAACACAUGCAAGUCGAACGGAAAGGCCUGCUUUCCCUUGUGGAUUGCGGGUACUCGAGUGGCGAACGGGUGAGUAACACGUGAGUGAUCUGCCCCCAACUUGGGUAUAAGCCUGGGAAACUGGGUCUAAUUCCCGAUAGGACUGCAGGGUGGUGCCUGUGGUGGAAAACGAUUUUCUAGUGGUUGGGGAUGAGCUCGCGGCCUAUCAGCUUGUUGGUGGGGUAAUGGCCUACCAAGGCGGCGACGGGUAGCCGGCCUGAGAGGGUGGACGGCCACAUUGGGACUGAGAUACGGCCCAGACUCCUACGGGAGGCAGCAGUGGGGAAUAUUGCACAAUGGGCGGAAGCCUGAUGCAGCGACGCCGCGUGGGGGAUGACGGCCUUCGGGUUGGAAACUCCUUUCGACCGCGAGGAAGCCACCUGGUUGGAAGGGUGGUGACGGUAGUGGUAGAAGAAGCACCGGCUAACUACGU